UGUAGUCUCGCACAGAUGCAUAUCAAUAAGCGGAGGAAAAGAAACUAACAAGGAUUCCCCUAGUAACGGCGAGUGAAGCGGGAAGAGCUCAAAUUUGAAAUCUUAAAGGGUUUCCCUUUACGAAUUGUAGUUUAAAGAAGUGUUUUCUGUUGAGGUUUUGGUAAAAGUUCUUUGGAAUAGGACAUCAUAGAGGGUGAGAAUCCCGUAUUUGACCUUUACUUUCAACUUUGUGAUACACUUUCAAAGAGUCGGAUUGUUUGGGAAUGCAGUCCAAAAUGGGUGGUAAAUUUCAUCUAAAGCUAAAUAUUGGCGAGAGACCGAUAGCGAACAAGUACCGUGAGGGAAAGAUGAAAAGAACUUUGAAAAGAGAGUUAAACAGUACGUGAAAUUGUCAAAAGGGAAGCGUUUGACACCAGUGUUGUUUUUCUGAAAAUCAAUUAAAGAACUGUUUAUGCUAAGUCUGUUUAGACUUUAUCAGCUAAUCUGUUUAGUUUUGAGCUUUUCUUUAAUGCACUUUUCAGUUAACAAGUCAACAUCAAUUUCUUUUGCUGUAAAAAAGCUUGAGGAAGGUGGCUUGAGAUUCGUCUUAAGUGUUUAUAGCCUCUUGCCUAUGCAGUCGGAGAGAUUGAGGUCUGCAGCGUAGAUCCUUCGGGGCUAAAUGCAUUUGUGCUAAGUUAUAGCAUUUUAUAGACAACUUGUUGACUAUGAUUUGUCUUGUAGCUUACUCGCAUAUGUUAUUUUACCUACGCUUAGGAUGUUGAUCUGUAGUGCGUGCGC
rnacentral:rRNA from 1 species